rnacentral:rRNA from 1 species
CAAGAAGCAGCAGGCGCGCAAAUUACCCACUCCCGGCACGGGGAGGUAGUGACGAAAAAUAACGAUACGGGACUCAUCCGAGGCCCCGUAAUCGGAAUGAGUACACUUUAAACCCUUUAACGAGUAUCCAUUGGAGGGCAAGUCUGGUGCCAGCAGCCGCGGUAAUUCCAGCUCCAAUAGCGUAUAUUAAAGUUGUUGCGGUUAAAAAGCUCGUAGUUGGACUUGUGUCCCACGCUGUCGGUUCACCGUUCGUCGGUGUUAACUGGCAUGCCCGUGUGGACGUCCUGCCGGUGGAUGCGGUCGGCCGUGGGCCUCUGGUCUGCGCGUCGGCGGUCCGAUGCAAUCCUACCGCGGUGCUCUUCACCGAGUGUCGAGGUGGGCCGGCACGUUUACUUUGAACAAAUUAGAGUGCUCAAAGCAGGCAGUGGUUCGCCUGAAUAUUGUGUGCAUGGAAUAAUGGAAUAGGACCUCGGUUCUAUUUUGUUGGUUUUCGGAACUUGAGGUAAUGAUUAAUAGGGACAAAUGGGGGCAUUCGUAUUGCGACGUUAGAGGUGAAAUUCUUGGAUCGUCGCAAGACGAACCUAAGCGAAAGCAUUUGCCAUAAGUGUUUUCAUUAAUCAAGAACGAAAGUUAGAGGUUCGAAGGCGAUCAGAUACCGCCCUAGUUCUAACCAUAAACGAUGCCAGCUAGCGAUCCGCCGAAGUUCCUCCGAUGACUCGGCGGGCAGCUUCCGGGAAACCAAAGCUUUUGGGUUCCGGGGGAAGUAUGGUUGCAAAGCUGAAACUUAAAGGAAUUGACGGAAGGGCACCACCAGGAGUGGAGCCUGCGGCUUAAUUUGACUCAACACGGGAAACCUCACCAGGCCCGGACACCGGAAGGAUUGACAGAUUGAGAGCUCUUUCUUGAUUCGGUGGAUGGUGGUGCAUGGCCGUUCUUAGUUGGUGGAGCGAUUUGUCUGGUUAAUUCCGAUA